rnacentral:rRNA from 1 species
UACGUAGGUGGCAAGCGUUGUCCGGAUUUAUUGGGUUUAAAGGGUGCGUAGGCGGCCCUGUAAGUCAGUGCUGAAAUAUCCCAGCUUAACUGGGAGGGUGGCAUUGAUACUGCGGGGCUAGAGUACAGAUGAGGUAGGCGGAAUUGACGGUGUAGCGGUGAAAUGCUUAGAUAUCGUCAAGAACACCUAUAGCGAAGGCAGCUUACUAGGCUGUAACUGACGCUGAGGCACGAAAGUGUGGGGAGCGAACAGG